UACGAAGGGGGCUAGCGUUGCUCGGAAUCACUGGGCGUAAAGGGUGCGUAGGCGGGUCUUUAAGUCAGGGGUGAAAUCCUGGAGCUCAACUCCAGAACUGCCUUUGAUACUGAAGAUCUUGAGUUCGGGAGAGGUGAGUGGAACUGCGAGUGUAGAGGUGAAAUUCGUAGAUAUUCGCAAGACCACCAGUGGCGAAGGCGGCUCACUGGCCCGAUACUGACGCUGAGGCACGAAAGCGUGGGGAGCAAACAGG
rnacentral:rRNA from 1 species